UACGUAGGGGGCAAGCGUUGUCCGGAUUUAUUGGGCGUAAAGAGCUCGUAGGCGGUUCAGCAAGUCGGGUGUGAAAAAUCUGGGCUCAACCCAGUGGAGCACCCGAUACUGCUGUGACUAGAGUCCGGUAGGGGAGUGUGGAAUUCCUGGUGUAGCGGUGAAAUGCGCAGAUAUCAGGAGGAACACCAACGGCGAAGGCAGCACUCUGGGCCGGUACUGACGCUGAGGAGCGAAAGCGUGGGGAGCGAACAGG
rnacentral:rRNA from 1 species